rnacentral:rRNA from 1 species
AUUGAACGCUGGCGGCAUGCCUUACACAUGCAAGUCGAACGGCAGCACGGGAGCAAUCCUGGUGGCGAGUGGCGAACGGGUGAGUAAUACAUCGGAACGUGCCCAGUAGUGGGGGAUAGCCCGGCGAAAGCCGGAUUAAUACCGCAUACGACUGGAGGGUGAAAGCGGGGGAUCGACAGACCCCGCGCGAUUGGAGCGGCCGGUGUCAGAUUAGCUAGUUGGUGGGGUAAAGGCCGACCAAGGCAACGAUCUGUAGUUGGUCUGAGAGGACGACCAGCCACACUGGGACUGAGACACGGCCCAGACUCCUACGGGAGGCAGCAGUGGGGAAUUUUGGACAAUGGGGGCAACCCUGAUCCAGCAAUGCCGCGUGCAGGAAGAAGGCCUUCGGGUUGUAAACUGCUUUUGUCAGGGAAGAAAUCCUCUGGGUUAAUACCUCGGGGGGAUGACGGUACCUGAAGAAUAAGCACCGGCUAACUACGUGCCAGCCGCCGCAGUAA